UUGGCAUUUCAGGUGCUAUAUAAAGCAAUUAAAAUGAGUUCUUGACCAACCAAUGGGAUUUUAAAUGUAGGACUUUUACUGGCUAUUAGAAUCUGGGUACUUCUUCUACCGUUAUAUGAGCGUUAAAGACAAAUAACCUAAAAUAAAUAAGAGGAGGAAUAAAUAAAACUGGUGGAAUCAAAUCAGACACCCGUUAUUAUUUUUAUCAUUAUUGUUUUUCAUUGGUUUUCAUUUGAUCAUGUUACUUCAGUGCACUGAAGCCGCUGCACUGCUGUCUCAUGUCCAGGCCGCUAGAUGGCGCAUUACGCUUGCGUGGUGCGGAACAGAAUUCCGGCACGCGUCCCGGAAGAAUUAAUCUGCCGCGAAGUUAGCAUCUGCUCCUCUAGUCAUGUCCCAGGUGAGAACAAGUGACAGUUGGAGUGACAGGCUCAUUAGGACUUCAUUACAUGGCUGCUUGGACAGGAGGAGGAGAGAGGCCCACAAGAUGAGCUAUAAACGAGGACUGGCUUGGCGACCCAAGCAGGCCCAGGGCUUUUCUUCACAGGUUCACUGAAGGCCCCCAGGGAGCGGGGGGAGCACACCUGGACCAGGAACUACUGGGAUCUCUGCACCAGCUUGCCAAAACCACAGAGCUUACACAGCCCCGAGGAUGACAAGACAGGGAGAAGGAAGGGAAGGGACACAAUUCCAAGGAACAUCCAUCCAUCCACUCAUUAUCUAUACCACUUAUCCAUUAAGGGUCAUGGGGGAGCUGGAGCCUAUCCCAGCUGUCAUUGGGCAAGAGGCGGGGUACACCCUGUACGGAUCGCCAGUACAAUUCCAAGGAACAUGAUCGUGUAAAUAAACUGCAGAGACACGGGCUGGACUCUACACUGUGACUUUGGCUUGGUCAAGUCCUACAAACACAGCUGUCAGAUGAGGCAUGAGAUAACAGAUAACAGGUUGCCUUAGUGCUUUAGACAACAUUCUGUCUGUAAAUUGGGCUCCUACUUAACCUUGGUUAUCAGACAGGUAAGUAACAGGCACAUAUACAGUGCAGAGCCCUUGCUGGAUUUCCAUGAGUCAGCUGAGGAGAGCCCAGAGCCAAAGGACAUUACUGAGAUGUUACAUGGUCAACAAGACGCGGCCGGUAGGCGGAGCAGAAUCAGUCGACCAAUCACCGUCAGUCUGCCAACUUUGAGUGGCGUGUGUCGUCAUUGACCAUGACCGUGCAGAGAGGAGAGAGGAGAGCCGACGAGUGAAAACAUGGAGUAAAACCUGAGGAAAAUCAGCGUCUUGGUUCGCUAGCACUGUGUGAAAAGUCGAUUACUGAAGACACCUGGAUGCUAAAACAAGCUUUAGAGCUGAUUUUGUCGAACACGAGAGACGACACGGAACACAUCUGCGGGCGAAGUUAUGGGUGCAUGAAACAUGAAACACCAGCCAGAGCAGAGUACGAGAAGCUGAUGGGUCUGGAGCAUGAGGACUUCUCCUGUAUGGGCAGUGGUCUCUGACUGAAUCCCAAGUGGCCACGCAUGGGAGCCUCACCUGAUUCGACUGUCAUGGAACAGGUUUAAAGCCGUGGUGAGCCCACAGAACAGUAGAUGCUGCGGACCUGCUUUGGUGUGCUGGACUGCUUGUGACGGUUUUAAGGUCUUCUCCCCCUCUUCUCAUUCUCCCGGCGAAGAAGAGCAGCGCUGGAUGUCUGUGUUGUUCAGAAGAGUGAAUUAUAUAAGAAGUCAGAAAAAAAUAUUCUCCAGUCUCCAUGUUCUUUUCACUGUGACUGUCCGAACUGCAAAGCAACAUGAGGUUAAUCUGCGCCUCUUUACUGGAGACGAGGGAUUCUACCUCAUCAACGAUGGAGAUAAUGUUUCACCACACAGGAGCCACGUAGACUACUUCCACAUCCAGGCACAGCUUCAUGUUGUGGGUACUGAGUGUUGAGACUUUGUGGCGGGGCACUAUGAUGACAUUUUUGUUGAAAGAAUUUUGAGAUGAUGUGUUUCCCAAAGUUGAGAUUUUGUUCAGCAAGUUAUAAAAUAAUAUGUUGAUAUGUAAUAUGACAAAAACUCAGGAUCAGAAAUCAGGACAGGCACUAGAUUUAGUCAUAUUUAGCAAAUAGAUGAAGGACUAACAUGAAUGUAUCACAUGUCUAUACCCUACUUAGCUAGAAACUUUGAAGGACUCAGCAAUACCUUUGAUUGAAUUCAGCACCUAGGCUUUAUGUAAAAUUAACUAAAAAUACAAUUGUUACGGUGCUAUUGUUCUGUUAUUAGUCAUGACCCAGCUCAUUGACCAUUACAAAAAACAAGAAGAGACACUGUUUUUAAACUGAAACAUUGUACAAAUACAAUACAAACAAUAAAUAAAUAAUAUUCUGAA